AACGAACGCUGGCGGCAGGCUUAACACAUGCAAGUCGAGCGCCCCGCAAGGGGAGCGGCAGACGGGUGAGUAACGCGUGGGAAUCUACCCAUCUCUACGGAAUAACGCAUGGAAACGUGUGCUAAUACCGUAUACGUCCUUCGGGAGAAAGAUUUAUCGGAGAUGGAUGAGCCCGCGUUGGAUUAGCUAGUUGGUGGGGUAAAGGCCUACCAAGGCGACGAUCCAUAGCUGGUCUGAGAGGAUGAUCAGCCACACUGGGACUGAGGCACGGCCCAGACUCCUACGGGAGGCAGCAGUGGGGAAUAUUGGACAAUGGGCGCAAGCCUGAUCCAGCCAUGCCGCGUGAGUGAUGAAGGCCCUAGGGUUGUAAAGCUCUUUCACCGGUGAAGAUAAUGACGGUAACCGGUGAAGAAGCCCCGGCUAACUUCGUGCCAGCAGCCGCCGUAAUAC
rnacentral:rRNA from 1 species